GACGAACGCUGGCGGCGUGCUUAACACAUGCAAGUCGAACGAUGAAGAAGAGAAACGCGAACUUCGGUUCAAAUUUCACUUCGGAUUAGUGGCAGACGGGUGAGUAACGCGUGAGCAACCUACCUCUUACAAAGGGAUAGCCUCGGGAAACCGUGAUUAAUACCAUAUGACACAUUCAUAAGGCAUCUUAACAAUGUUAAAGCUACGGCGGUAAGAGAUGGGCUCGCGUCCCAUUAGCUAGUUGGUGAGGUAACGGCCCACCAAGGCGACGAUGGGUAACCGGCCUGAGAGGGUGAACGGUCACAUUGGAACUGAGACACGGUCCAAACUCCUACGGGAGGCAGCAGUGGGGAAUAUUGCACAAUGGAGGGAACUCUGAUGCAGCGACGCCGCGUGAGCGAUGAAGGAAUUCGUUUCGUAAAGCUCUGUUCUAUGGGAAGAAAAGGACUGUACCAUAGGAGAAAGCCCCGGCUAAAUACGUG
rnacentral:rRNA from 1 species